rnacentral:rRNA from 1 species
AAUGAAUUAACUAGAAAAGACUUUACAAAAAGAAUUAAAGUAAAAUACCCCGAAACCAAACGAGCUACUAAUGAGCAAUUGAAAGAAUAAACCCGUCUAUGUU